rnacentral:rRNA from 1 species
GACGAACGCUGGCGGCGUGCUUAACACAUGCAAGUCGAACGAUGAAGCCGGAGCUUGCUCUGGUGAAUUAGUGGCGAACGGGUGAGUACACGUGAGUAACCUGCCCUUGGCUCUGGGAUAACUGCGGGAAACUGUAGCUAAUACCGGAUACGACCCUCGGAGGCAUCUCCUGGGGGUGGAAAGAAUUUCGGUCAAGGAUGGACUCGCGGCCUAUCAGCUAGUUGGUGAGGUAAAGGCUCGCCAAGGGGACGACGGGGAGCCGGCCUGAGAGGGUGACCGGCCACACUGGGACUGAGACACGGCCCAGACUCCUGCGGGAGGCAGCAGUGGGGAAUAUUGCACAAUGGGCGCAAGCCUGAUGCAGCAACGCCGCGUGAGGGAUGACGGCCUUCGGGUUGUAAACCUCUUUUAGCAGGGAAGAAGCGAAAGUGACGGUACCUGCAGAAAAAGCACCGGCUAACUACGUGCCAGCCGCCGCGGUAA